GGGGAAGGGCUGUAGUUCAGCAGUAGAGCGCCUGCUCUCCAUGUAGAUGCUCCCAUGUUCAAUUCAUGGCAUCCCCA